UACGUUCCCGGGUCUUGUACACACCGCCCGUCAAGCCACCUGAGUGGGAGCACCCAAAAUCGUUUAUCUAACCNCAAGGGGGAAAAACGCUUAAGGUGAGACCAGUAAGGAGGGCUAAGUCGUAACAAGGUAACCCCC
rnacentral:rRNA from 1 species